UGGCGGACGGGUGAGUAAUGCUUGGGAAUCUGGCUUAUGGAGGGGGAUAACGACGGGAAACUGUCGCUAAUACCGCGUAGAGUCGGGAGACGAAAGUGCGGGACCGCAAGGCCGCAUGCCAUGAGAUGAGCCCAAGUGGGAUUAGGUAGUUGGUGGGGUAAAGGCCUACCAAGCCGACGAUCUCUAGCUGGUCUGAGAGGAUGACCAGCCACACCGGGACUGAGACACGGCCCGG
rnacentral:rRNA from 1 species